UAACACCCGUUCCCAUUCCGAACACGACGGUUAAGCCUUUAGAAGCCGAUGGUACUGCACGGGAGACUGUGUGGGAGAGUAGGUGGUCGCCAGGU
rnacentral:rRNA from 1 species